rnacentral:snoRNA from 10 species
AUUUGGCUCUCACACUUGAUGAUUGGGCUUUCACUUGGAUCCGUGAGAUGUGCCUCCUUCUACCCUUGCUGCGAAGUCAGCACAUUACCUGACAGAAA